GGUUGAGCUACAUUGGAAGAAUCACUCUGCUUUUUCACCCGCUCACGCUGCUAGAAAGAAAAGGUUCAAAACAGAAAGCUUUUCAUGCUUUCUCUGCGUGGCGCUGUCUCACCUGGCUCUCCAGUUAAUAAAGGAUCCUUGGCUUCUGAUGAACAUUGAAAAUGCUGCCUGCACCUCAAGCCUUUCAGCAAAUCAAGCAACACCAAGACUUUCCUGACAGUUGUCUGCAGGCUUCUAAGUAAAACUUGCAUCUAUAUGCAGUGAAUCAUGGUUCUGCUACCUUACUUUGUCCACGAAAGGUGAAAGACUUUUGCUUCUUGCUGUAACUGACUGAGGGACCACGUGCAGAAAAAAAGAAAAAAUCCGGUGGCGAAGAUGGAGGAGAAAGCAAUGUGAAGGCAAUAUAUAUCUUUAUCUAAAAAAGUCUCAAAUAUAUACAAAUAUGUCAUAUGCAGUACCAGUGUGCUCACAGCAAAAUCUAAAUAUAGAGAUACCGUGCUUUGCUCCCAUCUGAAUACAGUAAGCUAAGAGCUCUCGUAACUGGGCCAUUUGUUAGUAAUUACAGAAGAUUUAUCAGACUAACAGCUAUUUCUAGGCACGAAACAAGAAACAGUAAUAGCACAAAAGAUGUUUCAAUAACAAAUUGGAUAACAGGAAAGCUGAAAUCCUCCAUCAGCUUUUUUACUCAGGUUGAACAGUUGAAUCGGAAACGUC